ensembl:snRNA U6 U6 spliceosomal RNA
GUGCUCGCUUUGGUAGCACAUACUAAAACUGGAUACAGAGAAGAUGAACAUGCUCCCUACCCAAGGAUGACACCCAAAUAAUACAUAAGAACAAUUAUAAU